CACUGCUAUCGGGGUUCGAUUAAGCCAUGCGAGUCGAGAGGGUUCAGACCCUCGGCGCACUGCUCAGUAACACGUGGAUAACCUACCCUGAGGAGGGGGAUAACCCCGGGAAACUGGGGAUAAUACCUCAUAGGUUUCAGAUGCUGGAAUGCUCUGAAACCGAAAUGCUCCGGCGCCUCAGGAUGGAUCUGCGGCCGAUUAGGUUGUUGUUGGGGUAACGGCCCAACAAGCCCGUCAUCGGUACGGGUUGUGAGAGCAAGAGCCCGGAGAUGGAUUCUGAGACACCAAUCCAGGCCCUACGGGGCGCAGCAGGCGCGAAACCUUUACAAUGCGAGCAAUCGCGAUAAGGGAACCCCGAGUGCCUGAAACCAGGCUGUUCAGGUGUUUAAAAAGCACCUGGAGAAAGGGCCGGGCAAGACCGGUGCCAGCCGCCGCGGUAAUACCGGCGGCUCGAGUGGUGGCCGCUAUUAUUGGGCUUAAAGCGUUCGUAGCUGGGUUGUUAAGUCUCUUGGGAAAUCUCACGGCUCAACCGUGAGGCGACUAAGAGAUACUGGCAAUCUUGGGACCGGGA
rnacentral:rRNA from 1 species